AACAACGCUAGAUCGAUGGAUGGAUGGAUCAGAGACGGCGAACCAAUCGGUAGGCAGACAGCUCACACACGCCCACCCAUCUCACCUCAUCUCAUGCACUGGGUGCGUGCGCUUUCCGCGCGCCGGGCACGUGACAGCGCCCCUGGGACAGCGCUGCGCGCAUGUGACGAGCCAACCGAUCUUCCUUUCGCCCAAAAGAAAAGGAGAGGUAGCAGCCAACGGAUCCGCCCGCCUGUUCACGCAUCGCCCGUCGUGAUCGAGAUUCAGCCCGCCGCGCAAAGCAUAAUCAUCUCUACAGUAUCAGGCAGUAUGUGUACGUACUGGUGUGACAGGGUGUAUCCAAUCAUGGGUGGUUAGGGUGGAGGUUACGCUUAUUAGCGAAGAAGAAGGAGCCAGUGGAACCCAAGUUUAAUACGGGUCCAACCUACUGGUGCUGUUGAUUGAUGGUAUUGCUAAUCGCUCACUUAUUUUGUAGCAUCUCCCUUUGUGCUGCAUUGUGAUCCAUUUUUCCCGUUCAUGGAUUGGAGCGGAAGCUUCUGACCCAGUUCAAGCCGACUGCAACCACCGGGAUGCGGUUGUUGGGGGGAUGCCGUCGAAAGCGAGGCGCCAUCUGCUGAUACUGCCUGUCUUUUCGUUGGCCAAGUUUCAGCUGUAAUGACGACGGACGGACGAGGCCCCGUUGCCACCUAG
rnacentral:lncRNA from 1 species